rnacentral:rRNA from 1 species
ACGUAGGGGGCGAGCGUUGUCCGGAAUUACCGGGCGUAAAGGGCUUGUAGGCGGGAUGGCGCGUCGUGGAGUAAAUCUCUCGGCUCAACUGAGAGAACAUCUGCGAUACGGCCGUUCUUGAGGACAGAAGAGGAAAGCAGAAUUCCCGGUGUAGCGGUGAAAUGCGUAGAUAUCGGGAGGAAUACCAGUGGCGAAGGCGGCUUUCUGGUCUGAUUCUGACGCUGAGGAGCGAAAGCCAGGGGAGCGAACGGGA